rnacentral:rRNA from 1 species
UACGAAGGGGGCUAGCGUUGCUCGGAAUGACUGGGCGUAAAGGGCGCGUAGGUGGCGGCCCAAGUCCGUGGUGAAAGCUCGCCGCUUAACGGCGAGUCGGCCACGGAGACUGGGUGGCUCGAGCACUGUAGGGGCAGAUGGAAUUCCGGGUGUAGCGGUGGAAUGCGUAGAGAUCCGGAAGAACACCAGUGGCGAAGGCGGUCUGCUGGGCAGUUGCUGACACUGAGGCACGAAGGCCAGGGGAGCAAACGGG